UUUCCGUAGGUGAACCUGCGGAAGGAUCAUUCACAAUAAGAGUGUUUAUGGCACCCUUCCAAAAAAUCCAUACCCACCUUGUGUGCAACGUAAGAAGAAAGAAACGCAGGUCAUGGGGGAAACCCCGAGACAAGCCUUUUUUUCUUUUCCACAUACACCUUUCUAUAAGUCCUAUUGUCUGAAGCUGUUAGAGAAUGACUAAUUCUUAAACAUAACUUUCAACAACGGAUCUCUUGGCUCUC
rnacentral:misc_RNA from 1 species